rnacentral:rRNA from 1 species
CGAAUGCUGACAUAAGUAACGAUAAAGCGGGUGAAAAGCCCGCUCGCCGGAAGACCAAGGGUUCCUGUCCAACGUUAAUCGGGGCAGGGUGAGUCGACCCCUAAGGCGAGGCCGAAAGGCGUAGUCGAUGGGAAACAGGUUAAUAUUCCUGUACUUGGUGUUACUGCGAAGGGGGGACGGAGAAGGCUAUGUUGGCCGGGCGACGGUUGUCCCGGUUUAAGCGUGUAGGCUGGUUUUCCAGGCAAAUCCGGAAAAUCAAGGCUGAGGCGUGAUGACGAGGCACUACGGUGCUGAAGCAACAAAUGCCCUGCUUCCAGGAAAAGCCUCUAAGCAUCAGGUAACAUCAAAUCGUACCCCAAACCGACACAGGUGGUCAGGUAGAGAAUACCAAGGCGCUUGAGAGAACUCGGGUGAAGGAACUAGGCAAAAUGGUGCCGUAACUUCGGGAGAAGGCACGCUGAUAUGUAGGUGAAGCGACUUGCUCGUGGAGCUGAAAUCAGUCGAAGAUACCAGCUGGCUGCAACUGUUUAUUAAAAACACAGCACUGUGCAAACACGAAAGUGGACGUAUACGGUGUGACGCCUGCCCGGUGCCGGAAGGUUAAUUGAUGGGGUCAGCGCAAGCGAAGCUCUUGAUCGAAGCCCCGGUAAACGGCGGCCGUAACUAUAACGGUCCUAAGGUAGCGAAAUUCCUUGUCGGGUAAGUUCCGACCUGCACGAAUGGCGUAAUGAUGGCCAGGCUGUCUCCACCCGAGACUCAGUGAAAUUGAACUCGCUGUGAAGAUGCAGUGUACCCGCGGCAAGACGGAAAGACCCCGUGAACCUUUACUAUAGCUUGACACUGAACAUUGAGCCUUGAUGUGUAGGAUAGGUGGGAGGCUUUGAAGUGUGGACGCCAGUCUGCAUGGAGCCGACCUUGAAAUACCACCCUUUAAUGUUUGAUGUUCUAACGUGGACCCGUGAUCCGGGUUGCGGACAGUGUCUGGUGGGUAGUUUGACUGGGGCGGUCUCCUCCUAAAGAGUAACGGAGGAGCACGAAGGUUGGCUAAUCCUGGUCGGACAUCAGGAGGUUAGUGCAAUGGCAUAAGCCAGCUUGACUGCGAGCGUGACGGCGCGAGCAGGUGCGAAAGCAGGUCAUAGUGAUCCGGUGGUUCUGAAUGGAAGGGCCAUCGCUCAACGGAUAAAAGGUACUCCGGGGAUAACAGGCUGAUACCGCCCAAGAGUUCAUAUCGACGGCGGUGUUUGGCACCUCGAUGUCGGCUCAUCACAUCCUGGGGCUGAAGUAGGUCCCAAGGGUAUGGCUGUUCGCCAUUUAAAGUGGUACGCGAGCUGGGUUUAGAACGUCGUGAGACAGUUCGGUCCCUAUCUGCCGUGGGCGCUGGAGAACUGAGGGGGGCUGCUCCUAGUACGAGAGGACCGGAGUGGACGCAUCACUGGUGUUCGGGUUGUCAUGCCAAUGGCACUGCCCGGUAGCUAAAUGCGGAAGAGAUAAGUGCUGAAAGCAUCUAAGCACGAAACUUGCCCCGAGAUGAGUUCUCCCUGACUCCUUGAGAGUC